UUGUUGUUCUUCAAACCCACAUGUUCUCUUGCUCUUGUUGUGAAUGUGUUUUGAGUGAUUUGGAAAAUUAGAUUAAUGAAAAAAACCCAACUUUUUCUAAGCACACUUAAAUUGAAGAAUGAAAGCAUUUCAUAUGCACUAAAAUUGCAUGGGUUAAAGGACGGUGUAGCUACACAGAAUAUAAACAUUGUUCAUUGUUUGUCAAAGUGCCGCUGCAGUGAGUGGAACUGGAACAACCCCGUCAGUAUUUUGCCGUCUGAAAUUGUAAAUAAGUUUCUGAUGAGCUCUUCGACUAACGACCGUAGCAGGAACAACCUCAUUAACAGGAUCUGUUUCCCCUGAUGGCGAUCUAUCUCGUUUGUCCGUCUUGUCAAGGCUUUUGGACAGAAUGUGGCAGCGACUGAAGCGCUGUGGGAUUAGGAGAAGGAAAGACAGGGAUUGGAAGAGAGCAAGUGAGGAGACAGAGUGUAGGAUGCAUGGGUGAGGGGAGGGGAGGGGAGGGGUCUGGACCAAAGUGACGCGUCACAGUUGUGAGAGAGAGUGAGGGGGAGAGAGCACGCGAGAGAGAGAGAGAGACUGAGCUCUGCUUUACAGCUUCGUUGCCGGACAGACACACACUCGCAGCAAACUCUCCCAAACACACACAGACACGUUAGUUUGGAAAUCUCUUCUCCAUUUUGGAGCAUUUCUUCUUCUGUUUCUGCGUAUGUUUGCACUCACCCGUAGUUCUACACUGGUGGAGGAGGUGGUGGUGGUGAUGUGUCUGUGUGCUGGAGUUAUGCUACUCAAUGGCAGCAUUAAGAGCAGCCUAGGUUAAGCGUUUAGGCAUUCUCUCCUCUGAGUUUCCACGGCUUGACUGAACUGGGCUAAUCUCCCUCAUGCAACUUUAAAGUUUUGUAGGGGGUUCAGAGUCAUGCACUUCCGUGUCACCAGACGGCAGAAUGUAGGCCAAGAGUUGCAGUGUGGCUGGUAACCACAGGGAAGUGAUCAAACUAUUUCAUUAUGAAUUCACUCAUUUUGUCCUUUUCUUACCCCUUAUUCAUGUUUGUAGUGUAGUUAUAAGAUAGUACUCACCUGUGACCUCACUCAUGGUCUUUUCUCUCCUGCCUUCUCAGAAAAACCACUGUAUCGUAGAUGUUCAAACGUCCUUGCCUUGAAGAUUUUCUAGCCUUUUUUGGCCUGUGACGUCAUUUCGACAAAUUUCUGGCGACCCACAGAGACAUUUUCUUUCUAGAAUUACGAUUACGAUUUUUGAUCGUGUUUGUUAUACUGUGUUGUAAAUACAGUCGUAGCCAGAUUAGCGGACAGGGUGACAUUUUAUUUGACCCGAUUACAUGAACAGUUAGACGAGUUUGUCUUCACACUGAACAAACAAUCAAUGAAUUACAAUUACAAAAGCGCUACGACAGCAUCUUAUACUGGCUGCAGUGAAGACAUGAAAGAUGAAAACUAUUAUAGUACUUUAAUUCAAUUUGCUAAAUAUAUAUAUAUUUUUUUGUCAUUUUUAAAAAAAUCUAUUACUAGACAUUUUAAUUCCAGGUGACCCCACGUGGCAUCCCGACCCCAAGGUUGAAAAACACUGUAUCUGUAUCUUAUUUUUUUGUAUGUUCCUAGGUGCUGGAGUAGAAUAGAAAAAAGUCAUUAUUUAUUUAUUUAUUUAUAUUAUUUAUAUUUGCUCUCACACAUAAUUUUAUGUAACUUCAGCCUCCCUGUUUCAGUGUAUUGAUGUGGAAACCUAAUUUAUGACAAAUAUCUUUAUUUUUCUAUAAAUAGAACUCAUCACUUCAUCACUUAGUUUUGAAUUUAAUAAUUUGUUUUGACUGAUUUUAGUCACUCUGUGUUCAUUAGCUUUAAGUUAUAGAUAGUUAUAGCUGCUAAUGCUCAAAUCUUGUCGGUGGCAGCAGUUCAACUUAAGUUUUUCUUUUUAUUCUCUAUCAAACAGCUCAGACUAAAUACACGUCUUUCAUCUGCAGACUCUUCACAUCAUCCUGACAAACUGUCCCUGAGUAAUAUCCGUUUAAAUAACCCCUCCGCCCCGCAGACAGCACUGUCAUAAUCCUGCAGCACCAUAUCCUCCUUUAAUGAAAGUCCAACUUUUUAUUUGCAUAUCCUGCACAGUCUGGUGAACACGGCGUCUACCGGUCUGUUAAAUUGAUCCUGCUGAUAUGCAGAGACUCAGAGCAGAGGUGCAUCGUUUGGACCGGUGUGUCCCAAUGAUCCCUCAUUCUCACAGCACUGCUAGAGAAACAAAACAAAAAAACAAAUCAUGCUGCAGCCAAACUUCCUGAAGGCAAAUUUAUGAGGGACCUGAAAGUUUAAACACAAGUCUGUUCUCAGCUCCUAUGGAAACCUAACAUAGUAAAUAGACAUUAAUUUUUCUCUUUCCUUUUUCUAGAGAUGGAUUCAUUCAGUGUAACAAUUUGUCUAACGUCAGAAUGUGCGUGUCAUCUAUAACAUUUGUAUACAGAUGACUCAACGUUCCGUAGAGAACAUACUUUUUUGCACAGCCCGACAGACUCCAUCCUCUCGUUUCAGGCUCAUCGAUUUCCCUCCUGCUUGUUCAACAAAACUGUUGACAGUUAAUUACACUGUAGAGCAAAUAAAGAGUUGCCGUUUUAACUUGGCCUACAUGCUGUGAAAGGGCUGGAACGGACAGACAGGGCAGGAGUGGCAGCCAAACAGCAUUAAGUAUCGAGGAGAGACAGAGAGAUGGAGCAAUUACCACAACAUUUUUAAUGUAGAAACCUCAUUAAUAGUUGGAAUCAUUUUUUUCUGAAAUACAUUAGCAUUGCUAAUGCUAUAUGAUAAGACUAGGGCUGUCAAAUUAUUGACUUUUUUAAUCAGAAUAAUUCCGAAAAUACUGUGCGUUAAUCACAAUUAAUCAUGAUUUAUCGCGGUUUUUAUGAAAUGGGAUUGAUACUUGAUAAUCCCAGAGACAAAAGACUUUUUUAGGUAUAUUUAUAUAUCUUAUCUUAUUAAAUCUAAUUAAUCACAAACAAAUAGAAUUAACAUGUUAAU